AUUGAACGCUGGCGGCAUGCUUUACACAUGCAAGUCGAACGGUAACAGGCCGCAAGGUGCUGACGAGUGGCGAACGGGUGAGUAAUGCAUCGGAACGUGCCCAGUCGUGGGGGAUAACUAUCCGAAAGGAUAGCUAAUACCGCAUACGAUCUGCGGAUGAAAGCGGGGGACCUUCGGGCACCGCGCGAUUGGAGCGGCCGAUGUCAGAUUAGGUAGUUGGUGGGGUAAAGGCUCACCAAGCCAACGAUCUGUAGCUGGUCUGAGAGGACGACCAGCCACACUGGGACUGAAACACGGCCCAGACUCCUACGGGAGGCAGCAGUGGGGAAUUUUGGACAAUGGGCGCAAGCCUGAUCCAGCAAUGCCGCGUGCAGGAAGAAGGCCUUCGGGUUGUAAACUGCUUUUGUACGGAACGAAACGGCUCUGGUUAAUACCUGGGGCUAAUGACGGUACCGUAAGAAUAAGCACCGGCUAACUACGUGCCAGCAGCCGCCGUAA
rnacentral:rRNA from 1 species